AAAAAAACAAAGGAGGGCCCUUCCAAGCAUCUGUUCCAUUGCACAUUCACGAUGGUUUGUGCUCAAGGUAGUCACACGACACACAGCCAACCCUACUUUCAGUACUGUUUGUGCGCUUGCAGAAGUUUUGAGGUGGCCACAUUACUCCAUUCUUAAUGGGCAUACCUUCCCGGUGAAAUCCUCUAACUGCACAAAUGUUCUUUUUGACCUGUUUUUGUUGCCCUCUGGACAGAACAGCAUUGGAGAAGCAUCAUAGAAUAAAGCAGAAUAAAUCCA